AAGGAUUUAAGUUAAUUAAACUAUUAACCUUCAAAGUUAAAAAUAUUUUUAAGCCUUA
rnacentral:tRNA from 1 species